UACAGAGGUCUCGAGCGUUGUUCGGAUUCAUUGGGCGUAAAGGGUGCGUAGGUGGCGCUGUAAGUCGGAUGUGAAAUCCCGAGGCUUAACCUCGGGACUGCAUUCGAUACUGCAGUGCUUGAGGACUGGAGAGGAGACUGGAAUUCAUGGUGUAGCAGUGAAAUGCGUAGAGAUCAUGAGGAAGACCAGUGGCGAAGGCGGGUCUCUGGACAGUUCCUGACACUGAGGCACGAAGGCCAGGGGAGCAAACGGG
rnacentral:rRNA from 1 species